rnacentral:rRNA from 1 species
AUUGAACGCUGGCGGUAUGCUUAACACAUGCAAGUCGAACGGUAACAGGCAAAGCUUGCUUUGCGCUGACGAGUGGCGGACGGGUGAGUAACGCGUGGGAAUCUGCCUUAUAGUGGGGGAUAGCCCGGAGAAAUCCGGAUUAAUACCGCAUAAGCCCUAAGGGGGAAAGCCGGGGAUCUUCGGACCUGGCGCUAUUAGAUGAGCCCGCGUUAGAUUAGCUAGUUGGUGGGGUAAAGGCCUACCAAGGCGACGAUCUAUAGCUGGUCUGAGAGGACGAUCAGCCACACUGGGACUGAGACACGGCCCAGACUCCUACGGGAGGCAGCAGUGGGGAAUAUUGCACAAUGGGCGCAAGCCUGAUGCAGCAAUACCGCGUGUGGAAGAAGGCCUGCGGGUUGUAAAGCACUUUCAAUCGUGAAGAAAUGUUCG